UACGGAGGGGGCUAGCGUUGUUCGGAAUCACUGAGCGUAAAGCGCGCGUAGGCGGCUUGUCAAGUUGGGCGCGAAAGCCCGGGGCUCAACCCCGGAAAUGCGCCCAAGACUGGCUGGCUUGAGACCGAGAGAGGGUGGUGGAAUUCCCAGUGUAGAGGUGAAAUUCGUAGAUAUUGGGAAGAACACCAGUGGCGAAGGCGGCCACCUGGCUCGGAUCUGACGCUGAGGCGCGAAAGCGUGGGGAGCAAACAGG
rnacentral:misc_RNA from 1 species